UUUGUGGACUGUCGGAAUAGUUUGGUGUUGUGAUGCAUUAUAUUUGAAAUAUUUACAGAGAUUUCAAGAAAAUAGAAGUGUGAAACAAGUUAAAACCAUCUUUGAACCAAACUGAAGGAUUUAAAAAUUGAUAAAGAUUGCAAAAAUUGAGAUUCUAAAUUGCCAUCAUUUAUUAUGGCUUCCAUUAUUGCAUACAUAUGAAUAAAUGAGGCUAUCGCUUCUUCAGUGGGGACAGAAAGGCCCCCUCUUUCAACAGAAUGGGACCCAUAACCAGAAAUAUAAAUUUUAAUGGAAUCAUCUACAACACAAUCGGACAAGUAUUCGGUAUCGAAGAUUCCUGAGAAACAAGUCACAUCAGUGGGAAGAUCAUGAAGAUCGUUAUUAUUGUCAUCACAAAUUCGAAAUUUAUUUUUGAUUUCAGUAAGAGAAAACGAAUUUGCCGAUUUUGUAAAUAUAUGUUUUAAUCUAAUUUUUUUUUCUGCAUGAAUUAUUUCGUUAUAUGACAUGAUAAUUACAACCAGAUAAAAGUCUAUAAUUUCCAAAUCGUUUUUCUAAUUUUUCGGUUGUAAAAUGGAGGGUACUACAUUCCUUAUAAGCCUUGGACAUCUCAAAAAAACAUUCUCCAGUACACCAUUGGGCGAUAGAAUACCGUGGUACCUUUCAAUAUCAGUUUCUGCAAAAUGCAAACUACAGAUGGCAGAAUAUUUUGAUUGUGUCCAAUUCUUACGAGGAAUAGCAACCCUCCAUUUCUCAU